rnacentral:rRNA from 1 species
CAUGCAGGUCGAGGGGCAGCAUGGUCUUAGCUUGCUAAGGCUGAUGGCGACCGGCGCACGGGUGAGUAACACGUAUCCAACCUGCCGUCUACUCUUGGCCAGCCUUCUGAAAGGAAGAUUAAUCCAGGAUGGGAUCAUGAGUUCACAUGUCCGCAUGAUUAAAGGUAUUUUCCGGUAGACGAUGGGGAUGCGUUCCAUUAGAUAGUAGGCGGGGUAACGGCCCACCUAGUCAACGAUGGAUAGGGGUUCUGAGAGGAAGGUCCCCCACAUUGGAACUGAGACACGGUCCAAACUCCUACGGGAGGCAGCAGUGAGGAAUAUUGGUCAAUGGGCGAUGGCCUGAACCAGCCAAGUAGCGUGAAGGAUGACUGCCCUAUGGGUUGUAAACUUCUUUUAUAAAGGAAUAAAGUCGGGUAUGCAUACCCGUUUGCAUGUACUUUAUGAAUAAGGAUCGGCUAACUCCGUGCCAGCAGCCGCGGUAAUACGGAGGAUCCGAGCGUUAUCCGGAUUUAUUGGGUUUAAAGGGAGCGUAGAUGGAUGUUUAAGUCAGUUGUGAAAGUUUGCGGCUCAACCGUAAAAUUGCAGUUGAUACUGGAUGUCUUGAGUGCAGUUGAGGCAGGCGGAAUUCGUGGUGUAGCGGUGAAAUGCUUAGAUAUCACGAAGAACUCCGAUUGCGAAGGCAGCCUGCUAAGCUGCAACUGACAUUGAGGCUCGAAAGUGUGGGUAUCAAACAGGAUUAGAUACCCUGGUAGUCCACACGGUAAACGAUGAAUACUUGCUGUUUGCGAUAUACGGCAAGCGGCCAAGCGAAAGCGUUAAGUAUUCCACCUGGGGAGUACGCCGGCAACGGUGAA